UUAUAGAUUAUCGAUAUUUAGGUUAUAGGUUUAAGGAC
rnacentral:precursor_RNA from 1 species